CUCAGGAGCUCUAGCUUUGCAGGAUAAUUUAUAUAGAAAAUAAGGAAUUCCAUGAGGAAAGGAUAUAAUAUUUUACAUUAGCAGAAGAAUAUGGAUAAAAAUUCUUGCCAAGAAAGGUUGGCUUCAGGGAGUCUUAGAAAAUACAAAAAACUUUUAAAUUUCAAGAAAUUCUUAGAAGUUCUGAAGAACUCAGAAAUUCUAAAACAAAGAUAUGAGAAAGAAGUAGGGGAUUUAUAAGUGUCUAUGAGGUAGAAAGAAGGACUUACAGAAUAGUGGGAAGAAACCAAACAAGUGAUUUGAUAUUACUUAAGACAUCUCCAUACUCUUUAUUGUUCUUGAAUAUAUUGUUGCUCAAUAUUUAAAUGUGUCUUGUGCUUUGUUUUCCCACCAAACUAAUAGGCAAAGAAAACAGUCAUAGAAACUGUCUACUUUCUAUCCCAAGAAAUUCAGAGAAAGACAAUAGUCAAUCUUACUUCAUAGCUAAAAUGCUGUAACAGAGUGACAAGUUCCCGUUCAAUCUCAAUGUCAGACACAUAAUAGACUUGUCCGAUAAUGGAACUUAAGUUCAAAGAUACACAUAUCAACCUCGCUGAUUAUCAUAGCUGCCACCUUCUGCAACUUUAGGAUAUCAUUCUCACUGCAGUCUAUUUGAAUAAAACUCCCUGAACUUAAACAUCAGUAGGGCUCUGAACUAUUUAAAUGUCAUAAAAAUAAUAGCACAUUAGAACUAGAAGCUUAAAAUUCAUCUUAUUUGAUGCAUCCAUUUUGUUGAUGAAGAAGCUGAGGCUGCUGAAAUCAUAGUUACCUGGAAAAACUAGAAUUGAAGAACAGAUUUUGUGAGUCAUGUCCAGUAAAAACAAAACCUCUCUCUUCCAUCACAGCUUUUACUGCUCUCCAACUGGCUCCCGUGUUCUAGUCACAUUGCGAUGGCCAAAUUCCAAGGCCAAGUGUCCCAGCAGAAGUUUCAUAGCAUUUUGUGACCUAGCUUCAGAAGUCAUAAAGCAGCACUUCCACCAUAGUCAAAGGUUCAUCAGGAUUCGAGAGAAGGGAAAAACAGGACCAAUCACCUGAUAGAAGGAAUGCCAUAGUCACAUCGAAAGAGCACAAAAGGACAGGAGGUAUUAUGGUGAUCACCUUUGGAAAAUACAGUCUGCCCCAGAUUGCACACAUUCGUCUAAUUUUGUUCCCUCCUGAAAUUCACUAAGAUAAUAGCAAAUUGAUUUCCCACCCAAGGCAUGUCAACCCCCAAACACAGGAAGAAUGAAAGAAGCAGCAGCAACAAAAUUUUAGAAGCUGGAAAGCAGAUGUUCAACUGGAAAAAGGUUUAACAGACCCCAGAGACCAGAGUCUUAUCCUAGCAACUCAGAAAGCUGAAAACUCAUCAGAUUUCUAACACAGAAUCCUCAAAAACCUAAGGAUACGGUAGCAUCAGGUACCACUGUAAGUGUGAAUAGGAGAGAGCUGAAAUAAGGAGGACUUUAAGUAGCAGUCAAGUCCCUAGAUCUGCUUCCCAGCUUAAGGCAAUCAAAUGACCACGCCUCUUGAAUAUUUGCUCAAUAGGGAAGCGUGUUCUCUUAAAACAAUGAAACAAGGGGGCUCUGGACCCCUUACAGGGUGGAUGGUAAAGGUAGCAUGAUAAAGCAGAAGGACAAGUAUGAGCACUACGACUGAGUCCUCCAGCUCUCCUCCCCUCCUUGGCUUCCUGGCAACUAGGCCAUCAUCCUCCAGGCACAGGACCAGAAACGCUUUCUCUGGCAAUUCAGACCACUUCAAGAGAAUGUAUCCAGAGGUCACAAAACUGAAAAGUGUACCUAUAUCCUUCUGCCCUGAGAUUCACAGGUGAUAGAGCUUCCAGUCAAAGUUUUUGAUCCCUGAGAACUGUUAGACAUCUGAGGAAUGCCUGCGAUGUGAAAAGUAUGAAAAAUAUAAAAAGCAACUUGGGGGAAGCAGACUGUGCACAGGGAAGAGAGCUUUGAAGAUAUAUGUAUUAUUAAUAUCCACUGAAAUGCAAGAGAAGAUAGUAUAACUUUGUAGAAAAGGAAUAGAAUGCUAUAAUAAAAAAGAACAUUCUGAGAACCAAAAGAG
rnacentral:lncRNA from 1 species